rnacentral:lncRNA from 1 species
UUACUUUUUUCUUUUUUUGAGACGGGGUCUCACUGUCGCCCAGGUUAGAGUGUGGUUGCGUGAUCUUGGCUUGCUGCAACCUCCACCUCCUAGGUUCAAGCUAUUCUGCUGCAGCCUCCCAAGUAGCUGGGAUUACAGGCACCUGCCACCAUGCUCAGCAACUUUUCUUGUAUUUUUAGUAGAGACAGGGUUUCACCAUGUUGGCC